rnacentral:rRNA from 1 species
AGAGCGAACGCUGGCGGCAGGCCUAACACAUGCAAGUCGAACGGACCCUUCGGGGUUAGUGGCGGACGGGUGAGUAACACGUGGGGACGUGCCUUUAGGUUCGGAAUAGCUCCUGGAAACGGGUGGUAAUGCCGAAUGUGCCCUUCGGGGGAAAGAUUUAUCGCCUUUAGAGCGGCCCGCGUCUGAUUAGCUUGUUGGUGAGGUAAUGGCUCACCAAGGCUACGAUCAGUAGCUGGUCUGAGAGGAUGACCAGCCACAUUGGGACUGAGACACGCCCAAACUCCUACGGGAGCAGCAGUGGGGAAUCUUGCGCAAUGGGACCGAAAGCC